AUCUUGGCUGAUUGAAACUUGCCUCUUCUCAAAUGGGUGAAGCCCUCAGUCGCUACAUUCCUGCAGAUCUGUUUGCUCCUGCCGUCUCCUGGGUCUCUCGGCCACAUCUGGUCUCGUCUGGUGUCCGCUUCUUGGACAAGGUGGCCUCGUCGCCUUGUCUCCCAGCCCCCUCUGUUGGCACAAUUUCCUCUUUCACCGUCUCUCUCCAGAAGGCACCUGCAUGGACCUCGGGGCCGGGCUAUAUACCCAUCUCUGCAAUUUGGGGACACCUGUUGCCAGUGUCCUUUCUGAUGAGUCUGAGCCAAUGGCCUGGGCACUGUUACUCGGCUUUCAACCCACAGCAGCACUUCGAGGGUGAAAGCAAGACACAAGCAGGAGGAGGGGAGAUGCCACCGGCUGCUGAGACCUUCUGAACUGAUUCAGGCUGCGGGUGUGACAGAGGCCGUCUCACAUAGCGAGAAGUACAAACCGGUUACCACCCUUACUGAAUGCAAUCUCUCAAUAACUGUGAGAAGCUUGCAACGUGUUAUCCCCUUUCGUCUAGUGAACCCACUUGUAGGACUCCAUCUAUCCACGGAUACACUCUAAAAAGCAGAUGAAGUUUUAUUCACAAAGGUAUUCAUGGAAAUGUCAUUUAUAAUACCCAACACUGGAAACGCUUCAAAGAUCCAACAUAAACGGAACGGUGAUAAAAUUAGGCUGUAGCCAUAGGACAAAAAAGUGCUCAAGCUUUACUUUACAAUUAUAUUUACACACGUUUUCUAACGAUUUGGAGAAAAGUGCUGUGUUUAUAAAGUGAGAACAGAUCUACAAAAUUGUGUGUCCAGGAUGAAUUUUUUUUUCAUUUUGUAUCGUGGUAAAGAAUAUACAGGGGCGCCUGGGUGGCGCAGUCGGUUAAGCGUCCGACUUCAGCCAGGUCACGAUCUCGCGGUCCGUGAGUUCGAGCCCCGCGUCGGGCUCUGGGCUGAUGGCUCGGAGCCUGGAGCCUGCUUCCGAUUCUGUGUCUCCCUCUCUCUCUGCCCCUCCCCCGUUCAUGCUCUGUCUCUCUCUGUCCCAAAAAUAAAUAAACGUUGAAAAAAAAAAAAGAAUAUACA
rnacentral:lncRNA from 1 species